rnacentral:rRNA from 1 species
GGCGCAAGCCUGAUGCAGCCAUGCCGCGUGUGUGAAGAAGGCCUUCGGGUUGUAAAGCACUUUCAGUAAGGAGGAAAGGUUAAGUUUUAAUAGAGCUUAGCUGUGACGUUACUUACAGAAGAAGCACCGGCUAACUCCGUGCCAGCAGCCGCGGUAAUAC